rnacentral:rRNA from 1 species
AAACCGGAGGAAGGUGGGGAUGACGUCAAAUCAUCAUGCCCCUUAUGACCUGGGCUACACACGUGCUACAAUGGAUGGUACAAAGGGCUGCAAACCUGCGAAGGUAAGCGAAUCCCAUAAAGCCAUUCUCAGUUCGGAUUGCAGGCUGCAACUCGCCUGCAUGAAGCCGGAAUCGCUAGUAAUCGCGGAUCAGCAUGCCGCGGUGAAUACGUUCCCGGGCCUUGUACACACCGCCCGUCACACCACGAGAGUUUGUAACACCCGAAGUCGGUGAGGUAACCUUCAUGGAGCCAGCCGCCUAAGGUGGGACAGAUGAUUGGGGUGAAGUCGUAACAAG